GAAAUGCGAUACGUAAUGUGAAUUGCAGAAUUCAGUGAAUCAUCGAAUCUUUGAACGCACCUUGCGCCCCUUGGCAUUCCGAGGGGCACACCCGUUUGAGUGUCGUGAAAUCAUCAAAACCCUUUUCUUUGAUCCUCUCUUGGUCAAGAAAGGUAUUUUUGGACUUGGAGGUUUUCAUGCUGGCUUUUAAAGCGAGCUCCUCUCAAAUGAAUUAGUGGGGUCCGCUUUGCUGAUCCUUGACGUGAUAAAGGUGUUUCUACGUUUUGGAUUUAGCACUGUCUCUUUGGACGCCUGCUUCUAACCGUCCCCUGGACGAUGAUGGUGCUCCGGUCAUCGCCAUCUAUGUUGGUGAGAGGCUGGACCCACAAGAAAAGACCUUGACCUCAAAUUGGGUGAGACUACCCGCUGAACUUAA
rnacentral:rRNA from 1 species